rnacentral:rRNA from 3 species
CCCAGUGAUUUAGCGUUACGUGUACCACCUCUUCCCAUUCCGAACAGAGAAGUGAAAGUGUAACGUCCCGAUGAUACUUGGUGUAAAUCAACGCCCGGGAAAGUAGGGCUUUGCUGGGA